rnacentral:tRNA from 1 species
GCCUCUGUAGCCCAAGUGGUAAAGCACUGGACUUGUAAGCAAGUUGUCGUGAGUUCAAUCCUCACAAGAGGCA